rnacentral:rRNA from 1 species
GGAGGGUGCGAGCGUUAAUCGGAAUUACUGGGCGUAAAGCGCGCGUAGGUGGUUUGAUAAGCUAGCUGUGAAAGCCCUGGGCUCAACCUGGGAACUGCAGUUAGAACUGUCUGGCUAGAGUAUAGUAGAGGGUGGCGGAAUUUCCUGUGUAGCGGUGAAAUGCGUAGAUAUAGGAAGGAACAUCAGUGGCGAAGGCGGCCACCUGGACUAAUACUGACACUGAGGUGCGAAACGGUGGGGAGCAAACAGGAUUAGAUACCCUGGUAGUCCACGCCGUAAACGAUGUCUACUAGCCGUUGGAGACUUGAUCCUCUUAGUGCGCAGUUAACGCGAUAAGUAGACCGCUGGGAGUACGGCCGCAAGGUUAAAACUCAAAUGAAUUGACGGGGCCGACAAGGCUGAGCAUGUGGUUUAAUUCGACGCAACGCAAGGAACCUUACCAGGUCUUGACAUCCUAGAACUUGACAGAGAUGC